rfam:Schistosoma mansoni strain Puerto Rico chromosome W, complete genome
AUCCAGCUGAGUCCCAAACAAGACGGAACGCGCGUCCUGGAU